rnacentral:rRNA from 1 species
CCCUUAGAUGUUCUGGGCCGCACGCGUGCUACACUGAGUGGAUCAGCGGGUCAGGUUGCGCGAAAGCGUUUCCUAAUCUUUAAAUCCGCUCGUGAUGGGGAUUGACGGUUGCAAUUUUCUGUCAUGAACGAGGAAUACCUUGUAAGCGCGGGUCAUCAUCCCGCGCUGAAUACGUCCCUGCCCUUUGUACACACCGCCCGUCGCACCUACUGAUUGAGUGACUCGGUGAAAAAUUGGGACCGUGAGAAUAUUUGAUUUAUUUCGAAUGUACUUGUGGAAACUUUUUUAAACCUAUUCACUUAGAAGAAGGUGAAGUCGUAACA